rnacentral:rRNA from 1 species
CNUGAGGGACGAAGGUCUUCGGAUUGUAAACCUCUUUCAGCAGGAACGAAGCGAAAGUGACGGUACCUGCAGAAGAAGCACCGGCUUACUAUGUGCCAGCAGCCGCGGUAAUACAUAGGGUGCAAGCGUUGUCCGGAUUUAUUGGGCGUAAAGAGUUCGUAGGCGGUUUCUCGCGUCGGAUGUGAAAACUCAGGGCUCAACCCUGAGCCUGCAUUCGAUACGGGGAAACUUGAGGACGGCAGGGGAGACUGGAACUCCUGGUGUAGCGGUGGAAUGCGCAGAUAUCAGGAAGAACACCAAUGGCGAAGGCAGGUCUCUGGGCCGAUUCUGACGCUGAGGAACGAAAGCGUGGGGAGCAAACAGGAUUAGAUACCCUGAUAGUCCACGCUGUAAACGAUGGACGCUAAGUGUGGGGAACAUUCCACGUUCUCUGCGCCGCAGCUAACGCAUUAAGCGUCCCGACUGGGGAGUACGACCGCAAGGUUAAAACUCAAAGGAAUUGACGGGGGCCCGCACAAGCAGCGGAGCAUGCGGCUUAAUUCGAUGCGACGCGAAGAAGCUUACCUAAGCUUGACAUGCAUUGAAAACUG